rnacentral:rRNA from 1 species
GGGUUCAUACGUUGGUCGGGCUAUUUGGUCUGUACUUAUGUAAUGGAUUCCUCCCUUCUGACGAACCAUGAUGUCAUUAAUUUGAUGUCGUGGAGAAUCAGGACUGUUACUUUGAAAAAAUUAGAGUGUUUAAAGCAGGCAUUAGCUUGAAUACAUUAGCAUGGAAUAAUGAAAUAGGACGUUUGAUCCUAUUUUGUUGGUUUCUAGGAUUGACGUA